rnacentral:rRNA from 1 species
AUUGAACGCUGGCGGCAGGCCUAACACAUGCAAGUCGAACGAGUGGCGGACGGGUGAGUAAUGUCUGGGAAACUGCCCGAUGGAGGGGGAAAACGACUGGAAACGGUAGCUAAUACCGCAUACCAUCGGCUGUGCCCAGAGGGGAUUAGCUAGUAGGUGGGGUAACGGCUCACCUAGGCGAAGAUCCCUAGCUGGUCGGAGAGGAUGACCAGCCACACUGGGACUGAGACACGGCCCAGAAUCCUACGGGAGGCAGAAGUGGGGAAUGUGGGACAAUGGGGGAAACCCUGAUCCAGCCAUCCCGCGUGUGCGAUGAAGGCCCUAGGGUUGUAAAGCACUUUUGGCAGGAAAGCGGUACCUGCAGAAUAAGCACCGGCUAACUACGUGCCAGCAGCCGCGGUAAUAC